rnacentral:rRNA from 1 species
GUACUCCCCAGGCGGUGUGUUUAUCGGUUUCCCUGCGACACUGAAAAUAAAUUUCCAACGUCUAACACACAUCGUUUACGGCAUGGACUACGAGGGUAUCUAAUCCUCUUCGCUACCCAUGCUUUCGUUCCUCAGUGUCAGUAAUGAUCCAGAAAGCUGCCUUCGCAAUUGGUAUUCUUUCUAAUAUCUACGAAUUUCACCUCUACACUAGAAAUUCUGCUUUCCUCUAUCAUACUCUAGCUGAAAAGUUUUGAUGGCAGUUCCAGAGUUAAGCUCUGGGAUUUCACCACCAACUUUUUCAACCACCUACGAACUCUUUAAGCCCAGUAAUUCCGAACUACGCUAGGUCCCUUCGUAUUACCGCGGCUGCUGGCACGAAGUUAGCCGGACCUUCUUAUUCGGGUACAGUCAUUUUCUUCCCCGACGAAAGAGCUUUACAACCCAAAGGCCUUCUUCACUCACGCGGCAUCGCUGCAUCAGAGUUUCCUCCAUUGUGCAAGAUUCCCCACUGUUGCCUCCCGUAGGAGUUUGGGCCGUGUCUCAGUCCCAAUGUGGCUGAUCAUCCUCUCAAAUCAGCUAUUGAUCAUAGUCUUGGUAGGCCAUUACCCUACCAACAAACUAAUCAAGUGCGGGCUCAUCCAAUGGUGCAUAAAGCUUUCUCCGUAAAGACUUAUCCGGUAUUAGCACAAGUUUCCUCGUGUUAUUCCAGGCCAAAGGGUAGAUACCCACAUGUUACUCACCCGUCUGCCACUAAGUAUUGCUACUUCGUUCGACUUGCACGUGUUAGGCGUGCCGCCAGCGUACGUUCUGAGCCAGGAUCAAACUCU